rnacentral:lncRNA from 1 species
GAAAAGCGCUCGCGGUGGUCCGCAGUAGUCCGCCCGUUCCGCUCCGUUCCCCUCACUUAUUCCCCCGUCCAGAGCGGAAUCACAGCCGAUGCGGCACGACGCGACGCGAUGAGCGAGGAGCGACGACGAUGUCACGGAUUAUGCGGGACGGUUGUGAUGCUGAGUCUCCCUUGGGACUUCCAGUCUGGGCGAUUGUCUCAGCGGCCAAUACUCACCGACAGCGAAGAGAGAAAUCAAUGAUUCAUGAGAAAAAAUUCGAUGCUUCGUGAGAUGUCUUUCUCCCGGUCGAAUUUCUGUGGAAGAAUCCUCGGCCGAAAGUAUCCGACUCUGACGUCUCUUAGACGGAUGUAGAAUAGUCACACAUACAUACGAGUGGUCAUUCACCUCUCUCCCGUCUCAUUUGCUUUCCAGCAUAGAAAGAAACUAGACACUUUGAGAUUAUUAAGAUAGGAUCUGUGUCUGGAUACGAGUGUCCCUGGAAGAGAAAUCGCGAUAAGAGACGGAAACGCCACAACGAAGCGGUCGAGUCUACGUGCAAAGUCCGAUCGCGGGGAGAAAGAGAGAAACGACGUAAUAUAUAUUUCACGACGACGAGAUCGUUUCCACGAUCGCUACUGCAAGGAUACAGCUCGACGGCGGGGUGAAAAUCGUGCCACGUGGCCCGCGGGUACUUCAGAAACAGGAGGGAAACUCGGACCGUAUUACUCUGGCCCCGGCCCUGGCGAACCUGUGACGCAGUAAAUAUAUUUAUCCUGGCCAGAGAAACGCAUCCCGAAUAUACUCAGGUACACGAGGGAACCGUUUUAAGUGGCUGAAUGAUAACGUCGGAGAAAAUCGCUCGAAUCAUCGGUGUGUGAACAGACGCGCGCAGAAGGAAAGUCCAUCGCGUCAUGUCGCGUACCUACGUCAUUGCGUUCGGUCAAUGCAUCAAUCCGGCCUGCAUCUGUAUGUAUUUACGCUAGACUGGCGGUGGGGAGGAGGUGGAAGAGAAGGUGGAGAAGCAGAGCAGCAAGGGGGAAACCCCUAUGUGACAUCAUCCCCCACGCGCACUCGCCUGGCCGCUUCGUCUCGCUGGCUGACUUCUGUCGCCUAACUCCAAAACACCCCUGGACCCUGCCACCUCCCUUUACCUUUAAUCUUUAUCAAUCCAUCCAGCCGAGGCCGAAUCGAACGCACGAGCAUGCACGCACGAGAGACGCAACGAUGUGCGGACGCCACCGCGCAUUAUUCACGGCCGAUAGCGCUUUCACCCUCGCCACGUUCGUCCGUCCACUACUUUCACCGAGUUUCACCCUCUCCGCCCCGUCCUCGCGUUCCGCCUAUGACCCCUUCGUGUAUUCUUAAACUUCGUACCCUAAACAUCUCUUCUUCGACUCUCUUCUUUCUCACACGAGCAGGUCGAGUCGCUAAUUAUGUCGACAAUUUUUGACAUCCUCUUCUUAUCCCUCGAUUUUUGCUGUCAACAUUUAGAGCCCUUUGAACUAACAAUUACCAAUUGAUAUUAUUAUGCGAUAUGCAAACAAUUUGUCGAUAAUAUUGAUAUUAAAGUCAACGAUGCUAAUAGAAAUAACAUUCGACAAUGUAACUAUUAUAUAUAUAUAUAUAUAUGUAUAUAUAUAUAACAUUUACUAUACUUACAUUUUGGAGAUUAUGGGCCAGAGCACAGACUUCUGCAUAACGCAUAAUACACAA